rnacentral:siRNA from 1 species
CUUCACCACGUGCUACCUCCG